GAGUCAUUAUAAAGUCGUCAUUCUCGGUUUGAGAGACAGGGCGGCGCCGUUGGCGAGAGCUGUGUGAAAAGCUUCAGCUGAUGAAGGGGAUAGAUGACAGAGAAGAAGAAAAAACAAGACAUCAGGCGAGAGGCUUUAAGCGGAGGAGUCGCCCAGGGUCCAACACAAACAGGCACUCUCUCAAGACGACAUGGGGCAGGCAGGUGAACCACCCACCCCCUACCUGAGCAAUCGGGUAAAGACCUCACAGCGUGCCAAAGGGAACACGACAGUGUUGAGUUUGCCAGGUUUGAAUCCUCUGACAUCCGUGUGAAAAGUGAACAAGCCCUCUCUUGACAUAAUGAUGCUGGACAGAAUCGACGAGCACGUUUCAGCAGUCAGGGACGUCUGGUUUGGCGGUCAUGUGACACCUGUCCCGACAAUUAAUCAUUUGGGACGAUUUAUGGAACGACAUGUGCAACUGACACAAGAGACAUGUGCAAGGCACUGAAGAAUCAUGCAUCUUCUGAGCCCGUGAGGACUGCCACAUUACACAAGCGGGCUGCCACCUGCAUAUCAUGCCUGCAUCGCAUUGGUUAUCCCCACUAACUACAGAAACACUCAUACAGUAGGGAUUACUGACAGUACUACCCAGUCCAUACAGCAUACAGAUCUGCAGUAACAGUUUGAAUUUUUAAUGUGCAUUUAGAAUUCUGCCUCAUUUCCCCAUCAUCUAAAAAAACAUAUAAAAUCUUAACAAAUGAAGACAGUUAUGUUUUCUAAGGCUUUAUUAUCUGUCUCCAGAGUGUCGGCCAA